rnacentral:rRNA from 1 species
CGCGCAGGCGGACAAUCAAGUCAGAUGUGAAAUCUCGGGGCUCAACCCCGAAACUGCGUCUGAAACUGAUUGUCUAGAGUCUCGGAGAGGGAAGGGGAAUUUCGCAUGUAGGGGUAAAAUCCGUAGAGAUGCGAAGGAACACCGGAGGCGAAGGCGCCUUCCUGGACGAGUACUGACGCUGAGGCGCGAAAGCGUGGGGAGCAAACAGGAUUAGAUACCCUGGUAGUCC